UCAGCCUACGGGGCGCAGCAGUAGGGAAUCUUCCACAAUCGACGAAAGUCUGAUGGAGCAACGCCGCGUGAGUGAAGAAGGGUUUCGGCUCGUAAAGCUCUGGUGGUAGUGAAGAAAGAUAGAGGUAGUAACUGGCCUUUAUUUGACGGUAAUUACUUAGAAAGUCACGGCUAACUACGUGCCAGCAGCCGCGGUAAUACGUAGGUGGCAAGCGUUGUCCGGGUUUAUUGGGCGUAAAGCGAGUGCAGGCGGUUCAAUAAGUAUGA
rnacentral:rRNA from 1 species